rnacentral:rRNA from 1 species
GGUGAACGCUGGCGAUGUGCCUAAGACAUGCAAGUCGAGCGCCCCGCAAGGGGAGCGGCAGACGGGAGAGUAACACGUGGGAACGUACCCUUUGGUUCGGAACAACCCAGGGAAACUUGGGCUAAUACCGGAUAAGCCCUCACGGGGAAAGAUUUAUCGCCGAAGGAUCGGCCCGCGUCUGAUUAGCUAGUUGGUGGGGUAACGGCCCACCAAGGCGACGAUCAGUAGCUGGUCUGAGAGGAUGAUCAGCCUCACUGGGACUGAGACACGGCCCAGACUCCUACGGGAGGCAGCAGUGGGGAAUAUUGGACAAUGGGCGCAAGCCUGAUCCAGCCAUGCCGCGUGGGUGAUGAAGGCCCUAGGGUUGUAAAGCCCUUUCGGCGGGGAAGAUAAUGACGGUACCCGCAGAAGAAGCCCCGGCUAACUUCGUGCCAGCCGCCGCCGUAA